AUUCGCUGCCAUUGCUCCUCCAAAAUCCCCUAACUUUCAUUAUGAUUCUUUAUCAACAGCUCAAUAACAACAACAUAUUUGGCCUUCUUUGCCUUCGAUCGUCUUCUUAUGCUAAGGAUGCUAGGUGCACACUAGGUGUUCGAUAAAAUGCCAAUAUCAACUGGUCGAUUCUCUGCAUUUUGAGAAGUAGUAUGGCCGAUGAACAAAGUGAAGAGAAAGGAUCCAGAACAAAAUGUGCCAUCUAAGAAGAGGGCAGAGGUCCAUAAUGGGGUACAAUCAAGUACACCUUUGUUCCUCGAGAUUAAUGAUUUUGACUUGUCUAGUGGGGAUUGGGAAGCUACCUACAGGAAACAAGUUGGUGCUUAUUCUAAGAGAAUUGAUAUAAAUAUGGACGAAUAUUCGAAGAUUGAUAAGUGGAGGACAACUUAGGGGAAGAGAAAAAGGUAUGAAUUUAUGCAUCUUAACUGUCACUGUUGGUUGUUUCUGUUGGGAUAGGUUCUUUGUUUUCUGAAGAAGAAAAUUGUGGAGCAUCAGUUGAUCUCUCAAAAUUACAUUUGACUCCAAUCUUAUAUAUCCUGCUUUUGACUGGAGCAAAUGUAAUGGUUUUCCUUUUAUACAUGACUCUCUGUAUUGGAAUCUUUAUGGCCAAUGGGUUAGAGGUAUUUAUAUAUGAUUCUAUUUGCAGCAUCUGUGUACUUCUUCCUCCUGUAUCAUUUGAUCCUGGAAGUCGACAGUGCUAUCAUCUGACACCUAAUAUAACUCUGAGUACCUAUGCUCCUUGUUCACCCUCUUGGAUAAUCAUCCUUGUUUGAUACUACAGGUGUUAUGCGUUUAUGGUGGUCUCUCUCCUAAUAUUCGGACAAUUGAUCAGGUUCUUGUUUAAUGUACUUUUUUCAUUGUAAUUUGUGAUAUAUUCUGGUGUUGUGGGCAUUUUUUCUAACAUUACAUUUUUUUGUUGAAACUGAAAAGCUAUUUGUGGUUACUGGCUUUGUUUUUGUUUGUUAUCGGGGUCUCAUCGACUUUAUAAUAUCAGGAAAAAUUACCUUUAGUAAUUACAAACUUCGCACCUGCUUCAUUUCAGUAAUACGAAGAGUGUCUUCAGAGUAAUACUCUUGCAUGGAAUAACCAGGUUUAGUUCUGAUGUUUGACACAUUUAAUGGUUUAUUACUAAGGAAUAAUAAGAAUGAACAACUAACAAUUAUAUAUUAAUCUAAUGAUCGGAUAUAUUACCUAGAAUUCUUUUAUCAAAACAUGUAGAACAUGUGGUAAUGUGCUGAACUUAAUUAAUUUCCCUUCCAUUAUUGUUGAUUGAGAUAUUAUUGACAGUGAACAUGAAUGAGGAACUGAUGAUACAUGCUAGUAGAGAUGCAUUGCUAAGAGUAAGGACACUUGAAAUUAAGGUACUUAUAUACUCCGUAGUAAUUUAAUGUUAUGUAAAAUUCUAACAAUAGUAAAAGAAAGAGGAAGGCAGGAUGUCCGAAAGCCCAGGAGCUUAAGGUGAGCUGCACUGCCCAUUAUAUUUUUCAGUUUACUCACUGUUUGGUGAAUUCUUUUUGUUAAUCACUUCAAGAUAUUUUGCCACUAAUAAAUUGAUGAAAUUUAUUGUUUUUUUCCUCUGAAGAUACAUUUAUACAGAGAAUAAAGAAGCUGUACCAGGAAUACAACCACGGUAGAGAAAUGUAGUCGUUCUUACAUUUUUUUUUUGGUUCUAUUUUAUUGUUAAAGUUCUGCACAAUUAGGAGUUUCUAUUUAGAUUUUUGAUGAAGAAACAACUUUGAUACCUCAUAUGUACUUCUUUAUUUACUCCAAUGUUAUACAAUCAAAUUAUUUUUAUGAAUACCAUUCACCUUUA